rnacentral:rRNA from 1 species
UGGGGAAUUUUGGACAAUGGGGGAAACCCUGAUCCAGCCAUCCCGCGUGUGCGAUGAAGGCCUUCGGGUUGUAAAGCACUUUUGGCAGGAAAGAAACGUCAUGGUUAAUACCCCGUGAAACUGACGGUACCUGCAGAAUAAGCACCGGCUAACUACGUGCCAGCAGCCGCGGUAAUACGUAGGGUGCAAGCGUUAAUCGGAAUUACUGGGCGUAAAGCGUGCGCAGGCGGUUCGGAAAGAAAGAUGUGAAAUCCCAGAGCUCAACUUUGGAACUGCAUUUUUAACUACCGGGCUAGAGUGUGUCAGAGGGAGGUGGAAUUCCGCGUGUAGCAGUGAAAUGCGUAGAUAUGCGGAGGAACACCGAUGGCGAAGGCAGCCUCCUGGGAUAACACUGACGCUCAUGCACGAAAGCGUGGGGAGCAAACAGG